GCCGGAGCGCGCCAGUUUGGCCGGACCGGUCUGCUCCCACCCCGCUCUCCCUCUCCCUGCUACAGCCCGCCGCCGUUCCCCUCGCUCCGCCCUCCACUCUCCCCUCUCCCCUCUCCACGCCCCAGCCGCCACGACGCCCAAUCCCUACCGAUGCGGCUGCCGUGUUGGUCCGCCCUGUCCCUCUCCGUCCAUCCGUGUCGCCUCAACGAUGGCGUCGGCGGCGGCUGCCCGUCCCUGACCCCGAGUCUUCCCCCUGAGGUAGGUCAAGACCUCAGCUGCCUCCGCCUCGCCAACCCCCCGCCCCCGCUUCUCCACGCCGGCGUGCGACGCCCCGCCGCGUCGGCCGCCCUCCCCGCCGCGGACCGCCCACACGCGGUGCGUGCCUUGCCGCGGCGGCCACCAUCUCCGCCGUGGAUCCCUCACGCGCGGUGCGUGCCCUCCGCGGCGGCCGCCCUCCACCUCAAGAUGGACCGCUGGCCUCCCUGAGCCCUCCCCCUCGCGACGGACCGCCAGGAUCCCCUCAUGAUGGACCACCGGCCUCUCCCUCCCCACGGAUUCCCCAUCGCGCCGUCACGCCACCAUCCCCUUCGACCGCUGCAGCUGCAGGGGCCGACAGAGCCAAAGGAGAUCGAGCUAGCGUGUGGGUGGCACAACAGAGAUGUGCAGGGACAGCGGAAUUGAUCUGGCAACAUGCAUGAAUCCCCUCUAUUCAGAUCCAUUUAUAUAUAUUCAUAUUUCCUCAUGUCUGGUGGACGGAGAACUGCAGCAUUCCUGCAUUCAUUCAGGAGAAUAGUGAACAGUAGAAAGUUGUGGAGUCCUAAACAGGAUCAAGCCUGGGUCCAUGACAGAUUUGGUGAGAUGGAUGCGCAUGAUAUUCAUGGUGAAAAUGUAAAGUUGUGGAGUCCUAAACAGGAUCAAGCCUGGGUCCAUGACAGAUUUGGUGAGAUGGAUGCGCAUGAUAUUCAUGGUGAAAAUCCAAAAAGAAAUCAGGGAGGUCACUUUAGAGGACGAGGUGGUGGACCUGGUGGGUAGAACUCGUUGUAUUAGUCAUGGUAACUUCAGAGGCAACAGAUCUCGAACAUACUAUCAUGAUAGUAGCAAGAACUACAGCUAUGUUCCAAAGGAUUCUCAUUCUUACCAUGAGAACACCAAGAAUGCUCAACAUGCUUUGUACGAUAAUGGGAAGUUCCAAAACCAUAUCGUGCUCCCUAUGAUAAUGUCAGAAAUGACAUUGUUCCCAAAGAAUCUCGCACUUACUAUGGUGAUGCUAAAAGUCAAAAGAAUACACCAGGAGUAGCUCGAGGAAGAGGCUCCAAGCAUUAUCAACCACGUUUGAGAAGUACGACUUAUACUUCUUCAAUGCAAAAUAAUAGGUGAGUCAUCUUUUUUGAGCGGUCAAUCUUAUCACCUAUUCAUAUUCUAUAUAUAGGACAAAGGAAUAUUGGAGCAAAUGAAUUUUGUAAACAACUACAACUGUUGUCAUGUGUGAAAUCUUGGGGCAUAGUGACACAGCUUACAUGCCCAUCUUUUUCCUUGUUCUGUGAUGGAACACAUGAACAAGUCCAUAUUUUAGGAGAAAAAACAGACUGAACUCAUGACUGUUCUUUUACUGGUCAAUUUUGUUGUUCCUUAACAUGCACUUACAUGGCUGUGGUCUAUCUUCAUCAUGGCCAAAUGUGGUUGAUAAGAUUUAGUUGUUCUAAGGAGCCUUUUAAGAUUUUUAUAUACCAAAUGAAAUAUAUUAUUUAUGAAAUAUGUCUUCUGAUUAUUUUUUUAAUUUGGAAAAGAUCUGGUAUAGUGCUUAUGUUAUUGCUCAUAGCAGUGUAAUUUCCCAUUGUCACAUUGGGGCAUCUGGCAUACCUAAAUCUCAUCUAAUUUGAGAAUGUAUUUGGCGUUUGGCGUAGAUGGAUUUUAGUGGAACUCAACAGUUUCUUCCCUUUGGUGGCUGAAUGCAUGUAUGCCUAAUAGUAUGUGAUCGUUAUCAUUUUUCAAGUCCCAUGCUAAAAAUACUAGAAAAUAUUGUAGUUCUCUUUUGUCAGGUCAACUAAAUCAUCGCAAGCCAAUAAGUUUUCUGGUGGGGAUUCAACUAGAGAAGAUAUCAAUUCAUGAAGACGUAUUCAAAUAAAGAUUUCAGAAUGUCAAAAAGAACUUUACAAUCAUACUUUUCAAGUUCAAGUGCUUCAACUCCACACACUAAUGAGAGCACAUCUGAACCAAAGAAAUCUAGAGUGGAGCUUAGUCAUUCAGAUUUAAUUGGGGAUCCUGGAAAGCGCAAACCAAUUGAUGAUUAUCAGCCUGAAAUUAGAGAUCAAGUAAAGAGGGCAUAUGCUUUGAAUGGACCAACUCAACCUCGUGAUAUCAUAUUUCCUCGUAAAUGGAUGAGUGGUGAAUUUAGAUCUUUUCAGAAGACUUGGUUUGAUGAAUUUGAUUGGCUAGAGUAUAGUGAGUACAAAGGUGCAGCUUAUUGCUUGUAUUGCUAUCUCUUCUUUAAUUCGUCAAAGCCUGAAAAAUUUGGUAGUUCAGUCUUUGCACAUCAAGGUUAUGUGAAUUGGAAGAAAGCUAAGGAUACUUUUAAUAAGCACAAUGUUUGCAAGACUCAUGUAGAAGCUAGGCAAAAGUGUGAAGACUUUAUGAACCAAAGGACAAAUGUGGGUAGAAAAUUAGUUCAAGUGGGUAAGGAGGAAGAAAAACGCUAUGAGAUUCGUUUGACAACUUCUUUAGAUGUUGCAAGAUUUCUCAUAAUGCAAGGGGAUGCUUUCCGUGGACAUGAUGAGUCUUCUACUUCGCUUAACAAGGGUACAUUUAGAGAAAUGGUUGAUUGGUACAAAGAUAAGGUUGAGAUAGUGAAGACGGCAUAUGAAAAAGGUUACAAAAAUUGCCAAAUGUUAUCUCCUUAUGUGCAGAAAGAUCUUACAAAAGCUUGUGCAGAGGAAGUCAUGAGUGUCAUUAUGGAUGAGAUUCGUGGUAGAAAAUUCUUAGUGCUUAUUGAUGAGUCUCGAGAUGUAUCAAUAAAGGAGCAAAUGGCAGUGAUUCUAAGGUUUGUGAAUGAUGAAGGGAAAGUGAUGGAGAGAUUUCUUGGACUUCAGCAUGUUGAGAGUUGUACAGCUAUUGCAUUGAAAGAAGCUUUGGUCCGUAUGCUUUCAAGUCGUAAGUUAUCAAUCUCUGUGCUUCGUGGGCAAGGGUAUGAUGGAGCUUCUAAUAUGAGAGAUAUUGCAGAUUUCUUUAACUAUGUUCCUUUAAUAGUCAACACUGUGGGUGCAUCUUGUAUGAGAAAGGAUGUUUUGCUUGCAAAGCAUCAUGAUAUGUUGCUAGAAAAGAUUGAGAAUGGUGAGAUUAUGACCGGAAGAGGUUUAAACCAGGAAAGUGGUCUAGCUAGACCUGGAGACACCAGACGGGGUUCACAUCUUAAAACUUUGCUUCCCAUUUUGGUGAUGUGGGAGGCUAUCAUAGAUGUCCUUGAGAUAGUCAAGAAAGAUUCUGUUAAACCAGCAUGUACUAGAGGAGCUUUAGGUUUGAUUGGAAAAAUGGAGAGCUUUGAUUUUGUGUUCAUCAUGCAUUUGAUGAUAGAAUUGUUGGGCAUGACAGAUAUUUUGUCACGUGCUUUGCAAAGGAAAGACCAAGACAUAGUUGAAGCUAUGCAUUUGAUAACGGAUGUGAAAGAUAGCUUGCAGGAUAUAAGAGAAAAUGGAUGGGAGCCAUUACUCAAAAAAGUGAAAACUUUCUGUGAGAAGAAUGAGAUUGAAGUGCCGGAUAUGGAUGAGGAAAUAAAUAUCAGAGGGACAUCUAGACGUAGGAAGCAAAAGAUUGCUUCUUCGGAUGAAUAAUGGGUGUCACCGUCACGCCCGUCGUCUAUUAGUCUCGUACUUUGGCUUUUCGGCCAUCUUGAUCUCUUUAAUUAGUGUGUGAUUUUAAUUGAAGAGAUUGGGGAGCAUGUCUUUGGGCAAUGAUAGGUCUUGGAUGCGCUUGCCGCAACAAGCAGAGGAGUGACAAAAAGGAUUCAAGAAAUUUAUAGAUCAUAUAUUUGCUGGAACAUUGAAAGGAGAAACGGCACCCUGUCCAUGCACUAGAUGUCGCUCAAUGUCCUACAAAACAAUUAAAGAAGUUAGAUCUCAUUUGAUUCAUAGAGGCUUUUAUGAAAGUUUUAUCCAAGGGGAAGGAGAAGAAAAAUAUUCAUUUGGAGGCAUCAGUGAAGGGGUUGGCAAUGAAGGUGGAACCGGUGACUGUGAUUCUGUAAAGGAUAUGAUGGAGUCACUAAUCCGUGGUUCGAUACAUGGAGAGAUCAUGGAUGCUGAAUCUGAAGAGCCGAAUGAAAGUGCCAAGACAUUCUUUAAAUUAUUAACAGAGGCAAAGAGGGAACUUUAUCCAGGUUGCAAGGAGGCUACUAAGUGUCAUAUAUACAAGAUGAUGAUGAUACUGAUGAUGGUAGAGUUGGUGCUGAUGUACACCGCACUCGUAGCCCAUCACCACAAAAAGAGUGGCCAUCUCAUGCGAGGUGUAGAACUGGAAAAGAGAAAGGUUCAAUUGGAGGUCCUAAUAAAGCUGGGCGUGGUACCCUGAAGGGUUUAUCAGCAGCCAUAAAGAGAAUAAAGAGUGGCUCCCAGAAACUAAAAAUUGAUUUUUCACCGAGACUGGGAGGUCCCAUAGGCGAUAACUAUCGUGCAUUUGUGGAUGAAGUGGUACUAUUUAUGAGAAAAAGGGCUCCACUUAUUGGAGUCAAAUUCUGGAAACACAUAGAUCAAGAUGUCAAAAAUUCUAUAGCACUCGAUGUUAUGAAUCGGUGGGACCUUCAAAACACUGAGGAUGGUAAGGAAAAAAUAUGGGCCAUAGCCAAGGAGCGGUACAAAGGAUGGCGUUCAACGUUCAGUGCUACUUACAAAGCAUACGACACUUAUGAUGAAAGAAUGAGGAACAAGCCUGAAGACUUGGACCUUGUUGAGUGGCAUUAUUUGAUUUUAUAUUUUGGAGGUCAAGAUUUCCAAAAGGUAAGCAACAUGAACUCUAAAAACCGUGAGAAAAAAAGGACCAAUCAUUGCAUGGGUUCCAAAUCAUUCUCCAAACUUAGUGAUGAGAAGAAAGAUCCCGAAACAGGUGUAGAACCAGGUGAUUUGAACUUUGGAGGAGUACACACAUGAGGAAUGGGAAAUGGUCAGAUGAAGCUUCUCAGGCUGUCUAUGAUGAAGCACUUUUCAAUGUUGCAGAGACAUGUAUUGACAAAGAGGCUGUAGUAAUAUUAGAUUUAGAGGAAAAUAUUAUUUUCUAGUGUAUCUACAAGAAAACCACAUGAUGCAAAACCUCCACUGUUCAUGGUCAUGGGUAUAUGUCUACACGUCCAAUAGAGAGGGAAUCAAUGAAGGCUCAACUCGAAGAACAUGCCCGUGCUACAGAUGCAGCCAACCAGAAAAAUAUAGAGCUACAAGAAGAGAUUGAGAAGUUAAACGAUAAACUUAAAAACCAAGAAGCUGAAAGUGAAAGGAAAUUGGAAGAAAAAUUGAAGCAGUUCAAAGAGGAAGAGAGUAGGAAAAUCCAAGCACUCAGGGAUGAAUUCAUGGCUGCACUUCAAGGAAAUAGACAGACCCGUUAGCUCCGACUGCCCCAAACAGUUCAGACAUCCAAGGGAAAGCUACACCGCCACCAGUUGAUAAAAGUGCUGUCAAUAUUCCAGAUUCUAAUGCCAAUGAAACCACAUCAGUCCAGAUUACCCCUAAAAUUACAGACAUCCCAGGGUCUGAUAGGCCACCAGUAUGCAAAAUUCCUGCCAAUAUUCCAAUAGUGGGGACAGUUGCAAGCAAAACACCAUCCUCUAAGGCCAAGUGAAGCCUUUCUCAAACCAACAAGCAAUUUAUUUCUCCACAUAACUUGAUGAACGCUAGAGUUAAACGUAUACGGACUAGAAGCCAACAGCUAUGAUAUGUAAAUCUGAUUUGUAUUCGAUUUUUGCAAGUUUUAUACUCAAACUCGAUGAAUGCUGCUGCGAAUGACUUCUA